CUGCUUGAGCAGCAGAGGUAGCUUCCUUAAAUUUCACGUUCCAUUACUGCCUACCAAUAGAAAAAUUACCAUUACCAUCUCAAGGAAAUGAUUGCCCAUGUUCCAACCUUUCAUCCUUGAAACCUAAGUGGCAUGAACCGCUAUCAUCAACACAAUAUUGCCUUGAAAGUUCUACAACAACUCUGACAGCUAGGCUUGCAUGUUCUACAAACUUAGUCGCUCCUUGAGCAGCUGAGGUAGCAUCCUUAAAUUUCAUUUUACAAUUAUGCCUGCCAACAGAAAAAUUACCAUUACCAUCUCAAGGAAAUGAUUGCCCAUGUUCCAACCUUUCAUCCUUAAAACCUAAGUGGCAUGAACCACCAUCAUCAACACAAUAUUGCCUUGAAAGUUCUCCAACAGCUCUGGCAGCUAGGCUUGCAUGUUCUCCAAACUCAGCCGCUGCUUGAGCAGCAGAGGUAGCAUCCUUAAAUUUCCUGUUCCAAUUCUGCCUGCCAACAGAAAAAUUACCAUCACCAUCUAAAGGAAAUGAUUGCCCAUGUUCUAACCUUUCAUCCUUGAAACCUAAGUGGCAUGAACCACCAUCAUCAACACAAUAUUGCCUUGAAAGUUCUACAACAGCUCUGACAACUAGGCUUGCAUGUUCUGCAAACUCAGCCGCUGCUUGAGCAGCAAAGGUAGUAUCCUUAAAUUUCAUGUUCCAAUUCUGCUUGCCAACAGAAAAAUUACCAUUACCAUCUCUAGGAAAUGCUUGCCCAUGUUUCAACCCUUCUUCCUUGAAACCUAAGUUGCAUGAACCACCAUCAUCAACACAAUAUUGCCUUGAAAGUUAUCCAACAGCUCUGGUAGCUAGGCUUCCAUGUUCUCCA
rnacentral:lncRNA from 1 species